CCCCUGGUGGUCUAGUGGUUAGGAUGCAGUGCUUUCAACACUGCAGCCUGGGUUCAAUUCCCGGUCAGGGGA